ACCCAGCUGACGAGUCCCGAAUAGAACGAAACGCGUGUCCUAGAU
rnacentral:hammerhead_ribozyme from 1 species